CUCCCCCCAUGCAACAGCGUAACAUAGCGGGACGCGCCCGCGGAGGUGAGGCGGCGGCCCGGAGCGGGGCAGGAGGGGCUCCUGGACUGGAGGUGGCAGUUGCUGGGUUCCCGGCCGUAGAGGGCGGGGAGAGGACUGGGCUGUUCAGCGGGGUCUGGAGAGCGGCUCGGAGACUCCCGUCUCGAGAACUGCCUUCCUCCCUGGUCGCUCUCCGGGGAAUCGAGGCUCUUGCCUCUCCGGCUGCCGCGUGUUUCAUUUAGUUUCCGGCUUCCGUUCGUCUGCGUAGCCGCUUGUCUUACAGUCACGGUGCUUACUUACCACUUACGAGCAUUGGCUGUUGGUCGUCUCCCAGCAGGAGCUCAUAAGGUCUGGCAGUUGCUGACUGCUGCUGCCGGAAGCCCACUCGUGGAAGGAUCUGAGUACCUACAUAAUUCUCAGCUGGACUAGGGACAUAGCGCUGUUGGGGUUAGGAAGAUAAAUUAGAAAUUUAAAUUGCCCUUGCUUUAGUUUCCUAGGGCUGUGAUAACCAAGUAUCGCAAAUUUGGUGGCUUAAAACAACGCGUUUAUUAUCUUACAGUUCUGGAACCAGGAAGUCCGAAAUGAAGGUGUCAGCAGGAUUACGCUUCCUCUGAAACUCUGGGUAAAAUACUUCCUUGGCUUUUCCUAGUUUCCGGUGCUGUGCACCCAUCCUAGGAGUUCUUUGACUUGUAGCUGCAUCUUUUGGAUCUCUUGAAGUUUCUCCUAUGGUGUUUUUCUCUGUGUAUCUGUGUUUCUUCUUAAAAGGUCACAGCCUUCUUGGGCAAAGGGCCUACCUUACUCCUGAUCUUAACUAAUUACAUUUACAAUAACUAUUGCCAGAUAAAGUCACAUUCUAAGGUUCUGGGAAGGUCGUGAAUUGGGGGAGAGGGGCGUGACACUGACCAACAUAGUAUAGCUGUCAGAGAGCUUAAGGAGUUGGCAAGCCAAAAGCUGACAGUAAUUUGCUGUAGCACAUGUGAACUCAGACAUAGUUCAAUUGGAUCUGAGAACUUUUCAUGGGUAUUUGAACUAUUCCCUUGAUAGGUGGGUAGGAUUUGGAUGUGCCAUUGUAGAUCAUAUAUAGCAUUCUAAGCAAACAAAAAUCACAGGAAAGCACAGGUUGAAAUGUAAAAUAGGUUAAAGUUGGAAGGAUUUUGGGGCGCUCCGGGUGGCUCAGUCGGUUGAGCGUCCGACUUCGGCUCAGGUCACGUUCUCACGGCUAGGCUCGUGAGUUCGAGCCCCAAUUCGGGCCCUGUGCUGACAGCCAGAGCCUGGAGCCUGCUUCCGAUUCUGUGCCUCCCUCUCUCUCUGCCCCUCCCCAGCUCGUGCUCUGUCUCUCUCUUUCUCUUUCAAAAAUAAACAUUUAAAAAUUUUUUUUAAAAUAAAGUAGGAAGGAUCUUGAACGUUUGGAGUCUGUUGUGUAUGUAAAAUGAGCAGUAUAUCAAAGUGUUUUGGCAGAGGAGUUGUGCUUGAAGAUUAAUUAGCAACUGGAGUCAAACCUACUUUGUGUUUCUCAGUCCAUUUUAAGAAGUCUUAAAUCCUGGGGCACCUGGGUGGCUCAGUCGGUUAAGUGUCUGACUUCAGCUCAGGUCAUGAUCUUGCGGUUUGUGAGUUUGAGCCCCACAUCAGGCUCUGCUGACAGCUCAGAGCCUGGAGCCUGUUUGAGAUUCUGUGUCUCCCUCUCUCUCUCUGCCCUUCCCCCACAUACGCUCUGUCUCCCUCUCAAAAAUAAAUAAACAUUAAAAAAGAGAAAAAGAAGUCUUAAAUCCUAUUCUCUGAGCAUAUCCUGUGCUUUUUCAUCCUGGUCUUUGCUCAUGCUGUCCCUUCUUACUGGAGUGCUUCCAUUAAGGAGAGUUGUUCAGCUCAUAAUGUUAGCAUCCCCUUAAUACCAAAACCUGACAAAGAUAGCACCAGAAGAAAAAACUGCCCAACUCCCAUCAAUACAAAGCCCUAAAAUAAAAUAGUAGCAAAUUCAGUCAUGCCCUCCAUCUGGAAUGAAAGAUUUUAUCCCAGGAAUGAUUUAACGUUAGAAAGCCUGUUGCUAUAAAUCACUGUAUUAAUAGUUUAUAUGAGGUUAAAUCUGUAUGAUCUAUAUGAUCAUCUCGAGCGGUAAAGUGUUUUUUGCAAAUAUUCAAAACCUACUUUGAUUUCAAAGAAAACAUUGAGCAAAAUAGGAGGGGUGCCUGGGUGGCUCAGUCAGUUAAGCGUCUGACUCUUGAUUUCCACUCAGGUCAUGAUCUCAUGAUUGUGAGAUUGAGGCCUGUGUCAGCCUCUGUGCUGGAGCCUGCUUAAGAUUCUUCCUCUCUUUGCCCCUGCCUGCUCGUUUUCUCUCUCCCUCUCUCCUUCCCUCUCUCCCCCACCUCCCAAAAAUAAGUAAAUAAAACACUUAGCAAAAUGAGAAUAGACAAACAGCAACUUGAUAAAAGGCACUUAAAAGAAAUCUAUGGUAAAUGUCAUACUUAAAUGAUAAAACAAUAGAAGCAUUCUCUUUAAACUCAGGAAAAAAUGGAAUAUUUACUUUCACUUCUAAUAUUCAACAUGGUGCUAGCUUUCUAGCCAAAGUAAUAAAACAGGGAACAGACAAAAAUGUUAGGAAAGGAGGAAGUGAAAAUAUUAUUUUUGGAUAAUGUAAUUUUGUUUCUGGAAAAUGGAAAAGAAUGAAAUUACAAAAUUAUUAGAAUUAAAAGGUUCAGCAAAGUGGCUAAAUGAAUACAGAAACUUAAAUUUUUUUGUAUAUCAGUUAUAAAAUGGGGGGGGGGGGAAGAACCCAAUAUGAAUACACUGCACAAAAGAGACUUCUUUAUGAGAAAUAUGAAAUAUCAUUAAAAGACAUUAAGGGCGAGUAAAUGGACAUUUCAUGUUCCAGUAUGGAAAAUUCAGUGCUUUAAAUAUAUCAGUGUAUCAUAAAUUAAAAGGUUUUGGUACAGUACCUGCUAAAAUACUGAUAGAAUCUCCAAGUAAUUCUCUUUGAUCAAGUAUAUUAUUCUUUGGAUACACUGUUGGGUGCCAUUUAUUGAUACUUUAUAUAGAAUGUAUCUUUUAUUAGUGAGACUGACACGAAGGGGAGCUUUUUUGGUACUGUAUUAAUCAGAUGUUGAUAUUUAAAAUUAUACUAGAUCCCUUAAAAUAACUUUAGGGAGCAUUUUAUAUUUUACUACGUUCUGAAAUAAUUUAAGUGACUUUGGAAUUAUCUGCUCUUUUAAGACUGAAUAGAGAAAUCAAUUGCAAAAUCCUAUUAUAUGAUGUAGUUUUACAUGGUAGAAUUUAUAUAUAAUGUGUCCACUCUCUUCUGUGAUCAUUUAAAAAGUCAACUUUUUGGGUUGCUUGGGUGGCUCAGUUGGUUGAGUGUCUGACUUGAUUUGGGCUCAGGUCAUGAUCCCAAGGUCAUGGGAACGAGCCCCAUGUCAGGCUCUGUGUUGAGCAUGGAGCCUGCUUAAGAUUCUCCCUCUCCCUCUACCCCUCUCCCCAACUUGGGCGCGCGCUCUCUUUCUCUAAAAAUUAAAAAUUAAAAAAAAUUAAAAUUCAACUUUUCUGUGGGGGAGGGAUCAACCUUAAUUUGUAUUUUGCUUGGAAGUCCUCCAUUUUCAGCAGAUUUUCCAAAUUAGUUGUCAUUGUAUUGUGUAUAGAAUUCUCUUGUGAUUCUUACAGUCUGCUCUGCACAUGAGGUUGUUUUCUCAUUCCUAACCUUACAUAUUUUUGUUUUCUUUUUCUUGAACCAGGCUUGCAAGAGGAUUUGUCUCUUUUUGAAUGCUUUUCAACUCUUACUUACUGUCUUCUGUUUUCCAGUUUAAGUUUUUGUCACAGUUCCUCUUCCUACUCUCUUGUUCUUUUCCCAUUUCUUAAUAUUAGUCUAAGAGCCUUUAUUUUUUUAAGUUCUUUCAUUUUUAUUUCAUUUUUGAUGAAGACAUUUUAAGGCUAUAAAUUUGCCUCUAAAUACAACUCGUUCCAUAGUUUUUGGUAUAAAGUGUUCUCUUUUUCAUUGCUUUUUACAUAUGUUGUCAUUUUUUUCUUUGAUCUAAGAGUUAUCCAGGAUUGGAUGUCAUUUUUUCAAAUACUUAAGCUUUUCAAUCCAUUUCUUUCUUCAGUUUUAUUGAGAGAUAAUUGACAUACAUCACUGGGUAAGUUCAAGUGCACAGCGUGAUGGUGGUCAUGUUUGUAUUAUUUUCCAGUUUUGUGGUGACCAGAGAAUUAGAUUCGGUAUGUUUUAGUUAAGAUAUUCUUCUUUGGCAAGUACAUAAUCAAUGAUUACACAUUUCAUGGGUGUUAAAAUAUGUAUAUUUUCUACUUAGAAUUAAAAGUUUCUAUGCUAUAAAUAAGUAUGUACAUAAAUAAAUAAAAGUUCUAUGCGGGGGUGCCUGGGUAGUGCAGUCAGUUAAGCAUCUGACUUGGGCUCAGGUCAUGAUCUUGUGAUCUGUGAGUUCGAGCCCCCUCUUGGGCUCUGUGCUGGCAGCUCAGAGCCUGGAACCUGCUUCGGAUUCUGUGUCUCCCUCUCUCUCUGCCUCUCCCCUGCUUGUGCUCUGUUUCUCUCUCUCAAAAAGAAAUAAACAUGAAAAAAAAAAUUUUUUUUUAAGUUCUAUGACUCUUUCAUCAGGUUUACUGGUUUUAGUAUUCAGGUUUAUUGAUUUUAGAAUUUAGUUCUCUGAUACAUUUCCUAGGUCAGUCUGAUUCUAGAAGAGGUGUGAUUAAGAUUUCCACCUUGGGGCGCCUGGGUGGCGCAGUCGGUUAAGCGUCCGACUUCAGCCAGGUCACGAUCUCGCGGUCCGUGAGUUCGAGCCCCGCGUCAGGCUCUGGGCUGAUGGCUCGGAGCCUGGAGCCUGUUUCCGAUUCUGUGUCUCCCUCUCUCUCUGCCCCUCCCCCGUUCAUGCUCUGUCUGUCUGUCCCAAAAAUAAAUAAAAACGUUGAAAAAAAAAAAUUAAAAAAAAAAAAAAAAGAUUUCCACCUUAAAUGUAUUUUAAACAAUCUUUUUUGCAUUUCUGGAAGAUCUUUUUAUGUAUGUAACAUUAUGUCACUGGUUCAUACAAGACUGUGCCCUGUCUUUGUAAACUAUGCCUUCUAUAAGAUCCUUUUUAUCCUGUUUAAUGCUUUCAACUUAUGUCUGACCAAUAUCCCUUUCUCUGAUGUUUUUGUUUUUUUGUUUUUUAAUUUGAGAGAGAGAGCAAGUGGAGGGGGGGGUAUGCAGAGAGGGAGAGAGAAUCUUAAGCAGGCUCCACACCGUGGAGCCCAGCACAGGGCUUGAUCCCAUGACCCUGGGAUCGUGACCUGAGCCAAAAUCAAGAGUGCUCAACCGAUGCUCAACCGACUGAGCCACCCAAGUGCCCCUCCCCGUAUCUGAUGUUAAUGUUACCAUUCCUUCUUUUGUUUACUUCUGUCUGGUAAACUCAUAGCUCACCUCUUUAUUUUAAAUCUGUUCGUUUCUAGUAAAAGAAAAAAUUGUACAUGUAACAAAUGAUCAAUCUGGGUUAGUUUUUUCACCUGGAAAGCCUAGCAGUAACUAUGCAGAAGCCAGCUGCUGUGCUGAGAGGAUCUGCAGGUGCAUGGAGGCUUAGAGCUUGUACAGUUUUACGUUUCAAAAGGAAACUGAAUGUCACGUUGAUGUCAAACAGUAGUUCGCCAUAACGUGAUAGCGCUGUUGUCAAAUACUAAUUCGAGGAAAUCACAAGCGGAUUUGCGGGAAGUCGUGGAUUAUUGGACUUUGCCUUAGUAAAGAUUAUUUUCCUUCCAUAAGUAUUUCAGGUGUCCUGGGAAAGGUUCUGAGGUUACUAAAACCCAGGCCCGCUAUCUCCUUGCUUUCCCUUUCUCCCCUGCCAGAAAUCAGCCUGCCUCUUCACAUCCUGCCUCUGGGCUGCCCGCCUAUAGUUCUGAGUUACCAGAAGCUAAUAUGGUCUGAGGCCCAGCUGGGGCUUUUGCCGUGCAGGGGAGGAGGUUGUUAUUUGUACUGGAAGCCUGGAGGCGAGAGGGUGAGCUCGGGAGGGCUUGAGAACGGGAGGCAGAACACCUCCAUUCGUGUUAGUCUCUGGUCCUCCCGGUGAUAGCCGGCUGGGACUUCCGGGACCAAAAGCGCGUGGGCCCUCUUCACAGCUUCCCUCCGUUUCCCACGGAAGAGGCUGCAGGUUGGGACCAGUGCCGCUUCCCUCCCUCCCGCGGCUCUUCUUUCUACUUCCUGCCUCCGUCGGGAAUCACGUGGUCGGGUUUGAGUUCCUGUGAUCCACCUCCCUUCCGUCCUCUGUAACUCAGGGACCUGGAGUGGUGAGAGAAACGUUGGCAUCAGGCUUGGAAGACUUGCUUUGUAGAGAGCAAAGCGGAAGCGCAGAAUUACCUCUACCCCGUGACUGCGUGAGCUUUGUGGAAAGUGUUCCCAUAAUUCGUUACCUGUAAACUUGAAUCAGUGUUUGUUUGAUUUCUCUCAGUGCUGAGUAGAAUCUGAGAACAGGAGUGACACCUGGAUGAGUAAAGGUGGUGCAGACGGGGCACCCGGGUGGCUCGGCCGGUUUCGGCUCAGGUCACGAUCCCACAGUUGAGGAGUUCAAGCCCUGCGUCGGGCUCUGCGCUGAUGCCACUGAGCCUGCUUGGGACUCUCCGCCUCCCCUGCCCCUCCCCCGCCCCUCCCCCACUUGCACGUCUCUGUCUCUAAGUAAAUAAAUCAACUUUAAAAACAUUAGUGAAAAGAAGAGCAGCUUUCCCGUGUGAGAAAUACAGGGGAUGGUGCCCGGAUGCUUGGUGUGUGACAGUGUUUUUCAGAUGAAUUUCAGAUACUUGUGUAAACGUGGGGGCGUGAGGGAGACGAGAACAGAGCCCAUUUUGACAGCAGGUGCUGCCAGUGCGUGGGAAGAGCACUCAGGCAAGUGACUUAAGUGCCGCGUCCUUGUUGCAGUGAUGCUGAAGACGGGCGACUCCCGGCAAGCCGCCCCCACCCUCCCCUCACCACGAGAGGCAGCCUCUGCCUCGCCUCGGAUUUCAGUGUCGCACCCGCUGUCUACGCUGCUUCCACACACACCCUUCCCUCCUUCACCCUGUCGGAGGGUAGUGGUCUUCUCUCCAUCCGAGGCUAGCUUUUCCUUCCAUGCUCAGAUCCCCUCCUCACCCUCGCUUCCUCAUUGGGCUUUGUUUCCUCACCUGAUACUUAUUUUCUUGUCCUCCGAGCCCCAUCCAAAGAAUAUUUCUCUCUAGAUUUCUUUUAGGCAUUCAAAGUGACCAAUCCCUCCUUUAAAAAAAAAUUAUUGAGGGGGGCGCCUGGGUGGCUCGGUCGGUUGAGCGUCCGACUUGGGCUCAGGUCAUGAUCUCACGGUUGGUGGGUUCAAGCCCCGCGUCGGGCUCUGUGCUGACAGCUCGGAGCCUGGAGCUACUUUGGAUUCUGUGUCUCCCCCUCUCUCUGCUCCUCUUCCACUCAUACGCUGUCUCUCUCUCUCAAAGAUAAACAUUUUUUAAAACUUUUUAAAAAACUCUCUCAAAGAUAAACAUUUUUAAAAAAUUAAAAAAAAAAUCUCUCUCUCCCUCUGCCUCUCUCCCCCACUUGCACUCUCCUCUCUCUUUCUAAAAUAAUAAUAAUAAUAAACGCUAAAAAAAAAAGCCCAUCAAGAGUUGAUUCAAAUAUGCUCUUCAUGGAGCAAAAUACUAGGCAUUCAUUAAAAGUGACAUGAAUCUGGGGCGCCUGGGUGGCGCAGUCGGUUAAGCGUCCGACUUCAGCCAGGUCACGAUCUCGCGGUCCGUGAGUUCGAGCCCCGCGUCGGGCUCUGGGCUGAUGGCUCAGAGCCUGGAGCCUGUUUCCGAUUCUGUGUCUCCCUCUCUCUCUGCCCCUCCCCUGUUCAUGCUCUGUCUCUCUCUGUCCCGAAAAUAAAUAAACGUUGAAAAAAAAAAAAAAAUUAAAAAAAAAAAAAGUGACAUGAAUCUAUUUUUGGCAUCAAUAACUUGCCAAGAUGACUUUAAAAAAAAAAGUUUCAGGGGUACCUGGGUGGCUCAGUCAGUUAAGCAUCUGACUCUUUGUUUUCAGCUCAGGUCAUGAUCUCCUGGUUCAUGAGAUCAAGCCCCACAUCAGGCUCUGUACUGCCAGUGUGGAGCCUGCUUGGGAUUCUCUCUCCCUCUACCCCUUCCCUGCUUGCGUACUCAUACACACACAUGCUCUCUCUUGAAAUAAGCAUUAAAAAUAAAUAAGUUAUAAAGCAACGAGUUAUGAAAGUAUAGGUAUAUAUACGUGACCGAGAGAAGAGCCCAAUUAUAACACUGGUUAAUUCUGACAAGUAAUAUCCAAAGCUCUUUGUUUCUGUCUCUUUAAAAAUCUCUGUGUUUUCUCAACUUUUUAAAAAAUAGUAUGUUUUACCUACCAGAAUAUAUAUAAAUUGAUCUGUGGAGCAAUAUCAUGACUGCCCUUAUACAUAAACUUUUGCGUACAUCUUGACGUUUUUAAGUACCCAUGUUUACUUGGUGAGGAGAACACAUACGAGAAGCUUUAAACAUGUAUUUUCAGAUUUCCUCUCUGGAAGGAAUGCAGAUAAAUAUUCACCAGCAGUAUUUGACCAUGCUGGUUCCCUAGGCCCUCACUGGACCCUGGGAGUGAUAGAUACAUCACUCGUUUCCUGCUUGGCCAGUUUGAUAGGUCAUCACUUCUGGUUGCUUUCUGUGAUGUGUGUCUCAUCUGAUUGGCAUUCAGAGAGUCACCCCUUUCACACUGGUGUUUGUAAACUCCUCAGAGUUGUGCUUUCCUCUUAGUCUCUGUUGUCUGCAUUUUUUUUUUUUUGGGCGGGGGGGGGGCUGGGUCCUUUUUUUUUUUUUUUNNNNNGGGGGGGGGGGGGUCUGGUUCCUUUUUUUUUUUUUUUAAUUUAUUUUAAUCUUUAUUUAUUUUUGAGAGAGACAGAGACAGGGUGCAAGCGGGAGAAGAACAGAGAGAGAGGAAGACACAGAAUCCGAUGCAGGCUCCAGGCUCAGAGCUGUCAGCACAGAGUCUGACAUGGGGCUCGAACUCAAGAACCUCGGGUUUAUGAAGUCGGACGCUUAACUGACUGAGCCACCCAGGCGCCCCUGUCUGGUUUAUUUUCUUAUGAGUAGUUAUCAAAAGAAUCAUUUUGAUAUUUGGAGCCCUUCUGUACCCAGUUCAAAAGUGUGAUAACUAAAAUAGUAAAUUCUUGAAUUCACUUGUUCAGAUCUCAAAAUCAUUUUUCCUCUAGUUAAGGCAGAACAGGGAGAGAAUUAGGAGUUUGAGCUUUACUGUUAGGCUGCCUGGGCGAAAAUCUUAGCGCUAUGACAGCAUACCAGCUGUGACCCUAGUCUAGCUAAAGAACUACGCCCGGUUCCCUCACCUGCGUGUGACACAGUGCCGGCACAGAACGAGCUCUCGAAUUGUUUGUUACUGCAAUCAUUACUGUUAUAAGAAGGGACACUCUUGAGUAGGUACAAUGGACUGAAAUGUGCCCUCUCCCCCAAAAAUGUAUAUGUUGUUUGUGUGCUUGCUUGAAAUGUUUUAUUUUAUUAUUUUAAAAAAAAAUUUUUUUAGCAUUUAUUUAUUUUUGAAACAGAGAGAACAGAGCAUGAACAGGGGAGGGUCAGAGAGAGAGGGAGACACAGAAUCUGAAACAGGCUCCAGGCUCUGAGCUGUCAGCACAGAGCCCGACGCGGGGCUCGAACUCACGAACCUUGAGAUCAUAACCCAAGCUGCGGUCCAAUGCUUAACCAACUCAGCCACCCAGGUGCUCUGGGAGAUAGCUGGUUUAAAUGAGGUCAGGAGAGGGGGGACCUUAUGAAGGGAUUAGUGCCUUUAUGAGAAAAGACAGCAGAGGUCUCUCCUCCGCAACCUUGUGAGGAGACAGGAAAGAAGCUGUCUGCAAACCCGGAGGAGAGUCCAGCAAAACUCAGUGAUGCUGGCCCUCUGAUCUUACAACUUGCAGCCUCUAGAACCGUAAGAAUUAAGUGUCUGUCGUUUGAGCCAGCAGUUCAUUGGUAUUUUGUUAGAGCGGCCUGAGUUGAUUAAAACAUACAGUUUUGUAGGGUGCCUGGGUGGCUCGGUCGAUAAGCGUCCGACUUGAGCUCAGGUCAUGAUCUCACUGUUUGUGGGUCGGAGCCCUGCGUCGGGCUCUGUGCUGACAGCUCGGAGCCUGGAGCCUGCUUUGGAUUCUGUGUCUCCCUCUCUCUCUGCUCCUUUGCCGCUCGUGCUCUUGCUCUGUCUCUUCUCUCAAAAAUAUAAGUAAACAUUAAAAAAAGAGAAGUACAGAAUUUCCUAAAUCACAAAAUCAUCUUUCAAAAAAAAAUGUAAAAAAAAAAACCCAAAAACCCCAUACAGUUUUGUUAUCACUGAGCGUGCAGCCUGGAGUUGUAGGUGAGAAAUAAAAGGAGUAAUGAUGAUAGAGCACGAGGUGUGUUUGGAAUGCAGGUGAAGUACAGAACACACAGUGACUGACCUCCACGCUUCUCUUGUGCCCGUGUUUGCCUUCUAGACUGUUCCUCAUUGGAAAACAGCAGUGAACUAGUGUUUUCCCAAGGAGCAAGAACUUGAUCCACCUGAAUUUGACUGCUAAUUUUGUGGAAUAUUAUGGAAUGAAGCUCCUGUGAGGCUUUGAGUCAUUCUGACUAUAAAAUGCAGGAUACGAUGCAGACUGUGUUCUGCAGCGUUCCAUCUAGGUGGCAUUUAGAAUGUAGGGAUUCUGUUAAUGGAUGAGAAAGCUGGAGUCCGUAUCUAUUUAGAAAAGGUUCAGUUCUGGGGCGCCUGGGUGGCGCAGUCGGUUAAGCGUCCGACUUCAGCCAGGUCACGAUCUCGCGGUCCGUGAGUUCGAGCCCCGCGUCAGGCUCUGGGCUGAUGGCUCGGAGCCUGGAGCCUGUUUCCGAUUCUGUGUCUCCCUCUCUCUCUGCCCCUCCCCCGUUCAUGCUCUGUCUCUCUCUGUCCCAAAGAUAAAUAAACGUUGAAAAAAAAAAAUUAAAAAAAAAAAAAAGAAAAGGUUCAGUUCUGAAUGACGCGUUUUUUCUAGUGGAGUUUUGAAUAAGUCUUUUUUUUUUUUAAUUUUUUUUUUUUAACAUUUAUUCAUUUUUGAGAGUAAGAGACAGAGCAUGAGCAGGGGAGGGGCAGAGAGAGAGAGGGAGACACAGAAUCCAAAGCAGGCUCCAAGCUCCGAGCUGUCAGCACAGAGCCCGACGCGGGGCUCGAACUCACAGACCGAGAGAUCGUGACCUGAGCUGAAGUCAGACGCUCAACCGACUGAGCCAUCCAGGCACCCCUGAAUAAGUCUUGUCAUCGUUCUAAUACUAGUUUUUCUUCCACCAAAUUCCCCCUGAUUCUUUUUUUUUUAAUUAAAAAAAUUUUUAAUGUUUUUAUUUAUUUUUCAGACAGAGAGAGACAGAGCAUGGGCAGGGGAGGAGCAGAGAGAGAGGGAGAGACAGAAUGCGAAGCAGGCUCCAGGCUCUGAGCUGUCAGCACAGAGCCCGACGCAGGGCCCAAACUGGACUGUGAGAUCAUGACCUGAGCUGAAGUCGGACGUUUAUCCGACUGAGCCACCCAGGCACCCCAAAGUCCCCCUGAUUCUUGAGAGUUUUCUUAUUGUGUAAAAGUGCUUCCUUUUUGGUUAGUAAAUCAGUAUUAGGGUAUUAUGAGAAAAAUUAAAAUGUUUCAACCCACAACUUCCUUAGAUUAAUACCAACUAUUUUAAGGUUUAUUUGUUCUGUAUGUGAACAAUUUCAUACGCUUGUUUAUUAAUAUUAUUUCAGUGACUCAUUUUAAUAUUUCUGUGUAAAAUAUCCAUGUAAUCUAUAAAGCCACAUUAUCUCCAAAAGAGUGUUGGUAAUAUGCAAUAUGUGUGGCCAGUGGGUGCCAGUCUGACCAUUCAAACCAGGGCCCAGGAGAGGAUCUGGUCUGUCCACCAAAGUUUAAGGUCCAGCCUUCAUUUUUAGGCUAAUAAGCUCAAGGUUUACAGUUAUUAGAGGGGAUUUUAUUUUGAGAGAUUGAUUGUAAUUAAACAAUUUGGCAAGACAGGUGUAAAAAUUCUAGACUAUAAAUGAAUGUAAAUAGAAGGGAGAGGAGAUUUGGAAUAUUUUAAUUUUCUGAUUAAAGUCAUUUUCCUCUGGAAGGAAAACCUCCUGGGAACUUUGGGGUGACUAGAUGAUCAUUUACUUAGGGGGAGAGUUUGAUGAUUUUAAACAUAGGCCAUAAAACUGCAACAUACAAACACAUGUAAUAAAGACUGUUGAUCAGAGACUCUUGGGGUCUCUUCCCCCCCUGCUGCCUGAGAUGUUCACCAGGAUUCUUCACUACUUCCUGGGCUGAUUGUUUUCCCCACAGUGGUAAUGAGCUGGGAACUUACUAGGAGAUACACUAGAGUACAAACUAUAGCCUGGAAGUUUUACAAGUGUGAACUUAGCAGGUGUGAAGUCUUUCUUCCCAAGAAUAUCUUCAAGAGGGGCAGACUAAGAGCGGCAAACAAAGCGGCAACAGGAUUAAUAGGAAAGGGUAACUGAAGGACAGGACCUAGAGCCAGUGUGCUGGUUGAUGCAGAAUGACCAGGUUCGCUGCAGCCGUCACUCAACUAAACCUACAUGCAAACAAAAGCUGGAGGACUGUUCCUGGAAGAAACGUGAAUGAGCUGCUUGAGGAGGGCCCCAGCUUGCAGCGAAGGAAAGCCCUUCUCACUUGGGCAUUUGGAAGGCUCCUCCUUCCUGCUCUCUGCCCGUGUACCCGUAAGUGAAGUCUCCCAUGUGAUAGUCCUGUAUGAGUGCGUACCUCACGUUGUCCUUCCCAUUCCUCGAGGAGGCCCGCUGGAGAAUUCUGGAGAAUUUGAACUCCCAGUGGCAGAAGAGACUCAGCCAGCCACCCAGAAGCCGGGUCCUUUGUUUUUAUGUAAUUUCUUUUAAAUGUUCAACUGAGAUUUACUACACCUGAAGAAAACCAAUGGCAGGUAAGAAAAAGACCUUAUUGAGCAAAGAGCUGGCCCAAGAGAGUAAGUGAAAAACUUUAGUAUCUACAGAAAGAUUUGAAGAUACUGCACCAUAAAUCAAGAAUAGGUUACCAUGGAAAAGGAAUAAUGAAAAAGAGUGGUUAGAAAUUUAAGAUGAUUGUCAAAAUAAACAUUUUCUAGUACUGGAAUAAAAAAUACAGUUUUCCCAAAAAGAUAAUUAGAAAAAAGAUAAGACGUCAGUCUAUAAAUCUACCAAAUAACUGAAAGAAUUUAAGAAGGAAAAAAUCGGGAAAAAAUGGAGGAAAAGAAAUCAUAGAAGGAUGAUAGUUUGGAUAAUUAGAGAUACACAUCUUUUUUACUGAAAAGUUGCUAAGCAUAGUGAAUUUAAGCAUUGUCUGUCUGUCUCACACACACUGCAAAUCCUUGCAAGAUUUUGGAAUACUAAAGAUAAUAGCCUGAAAGCAUCCAGAGAAGGAAAACAGAAGUUACCUAAGAAGGAGUGAGAAUCAGACUGGCCUCUGUUUUCUGGUCAGCAGAAAUGUGUGCUAGAAGAUACUGCAGCAGACGUUCAAAGUCCAGACAGAAAGGGUUUUUGAUACAGAAUUCGACACCCAAACAAUUAAGUAGAAAAUUGAAAAAGAUAUCUCAGAUAUGCAAAAAUUCACAUUUACUUCACAUCUACAUCUUUGUGCAAUUACUUAGUAUACUUUGGAGAGAAUAAGACAUCUAGUAAAAAGGACUCCACCCUAGGAAUGCGGUGGAAAAAAAUCCUAGGAUACCAGCUAUGUAGCAAGCCUGAAAAAUAAUGGGUUCACAUUAGAACAGGAUCCCAAAGGAUCAGAAUUCCUUGAAAGAAAAAGCGGAUUCCUGUUAAACAGUAAAAGUAAGAGGCUGGAUGAUCAUCACCAAAAGAGGAAAUAGCAUAUACUUCGUUUUGUCAAAUAAAAGGUUAUUAGAAACUCCAGGGAAAGCAAAGUUUUAUAAGGACAUGUUAGUCCGAGUACAAAAACUAAAGUGUAGCAUGAUUAUCAGCAACUGCUAGAGUGUAAAAAGAUUCGAUUUGACCUUGAUCCUUGAAGUGGUCAUUUUUGUGCGUGUGGCACAAGUUUAGUGACAGAGGAUUACAUUUCUUUCUCUAUGGAUCUAAUCUUAUUCCUUGGUUCUGCAGUGAAUCAUACAGAAGUACAAUCUCAAAUGCUAUAUACUCAAUUUGAAAUUUCAGAAUCUAUAUAUAAAAUACAGGAAACAAAAUGACUCCACUGUGUAAAGAUCAAAGUAAUAUAACCAAUAAGGAUAAAAGAGGUGCACAAAAGUUGGAAGAUGAUUUCCUCAUAUAGAAGUCAACAGAUCCAGGGCACCUGGGUGGCUCAUUAGGUUAAGCGUCAGGCUCUUGAUUUUGCCACAGGUCAUGAUCUCAUGGUUCAUGAGAUCAAGCCCCACAACAGGUUCUGCACUGACAGCAUGGAGCCUGCUUGGGAUUCUCUCUCUCCCUUUCUCUUUUCUCUCCCCCUCUCUCUACCCCUUCCCCCUGCCCCGUCUCUCUAAAUAAAUAAAUAUUUUAAAAAGUCAAGAGGUCCAUCUACUGUCAUAUCAAACUAAAGUAUUGAAAUGAGAAAAGCAGUGUAAAAUAGUUUGGGGCGGGGGGGGGGGGAGCCUCAGUGGACUCACUGAGUUGAAGACACGGUGCUCAGAGUCUCAGGAGACCAAGGCAGCCAGAGUUUAUGGGACAGCGAGCCGUGGAGGAGAGGACUGGGUAGGUAAAUGUAGAGAUCGGCAGACGGUUCAUACUGAGUGUUCACAGAGUACUGAUCAGCUCGUGUGUGAGGAAACCUGAUGUCAGAAAAAGAACAACUUGAGAGGGUUUGACAUCAGUGCUACAGGGCCCAAAAUAGCACCUGUUCCCACCACCAAGACUGGAAAAACCCAUUAGGCAUUGGGGAGAGUACUGAAAGAGUACUGAAAGUCUUGCUUUGGGGCACCUGGGUGGCUCGGUCGGUUAAGCAUUCAACCCUUGAUUUUGGCUCAGGUCAUGAUCUCACAGUUCAUGAGAUCAAGCCCUGUGUCAGGCUCUGUGCUGACAGCAUGGAGCCUGCUUGGGAUUCUUUGUCUCUCUCUCUCUCUCUCUCUCUCUCUCUCUCAUCUUCUCUGUAUCGUUCCAAUUUUAGUAUAUGUGCUGCCGAAGCUAGCACUGCUUCUCUCUCUCUAAAUAAAUAAGCAUUUUUUUUAAAGGUCCUGCUUCAUUAGUGGGGAAUAAUUAUCCUUAGGCUAAAUACAGUUCUAGUCCCACCCAACAAAUCUUAAAAAUAAGAUCAGAAAAGGAUCAGUUUCCAAAUAACUACAUCUUAAAACUGUUUCAAAGCUCUAAAAAUUUUGUAGGAACAUAAAAAUAUCCAGCAGUUAAUGUAAAAUUCACAAUGUCUGGCCCGGCUGGCUCGGUCAGAAGAGCACGUGACUCUUGAUCUCAGGGUUGUGAGUUCAAGGCCCACAUUGGGUGUAGAGUCAUUUGGGUGAUUCAGUCUGUUGAGCAUCCAGCUCUUGCUUUUGCCUCAGGUCGUCAUCCAAGGGUCAUGGGAUCAAGCCCCCAUUGAGCUCCACGCUGAGUGUGGAGCCUGCUUAAGAUUCUAACUCUGCCCCUCCCCCACUUGCACAUGCUCUCUCUCUAAAAUGAAAAUAAAAUUCACAAUGUCUAGCAUCUUAUCAAUGAUUAACAGGCUGAACAGUAUCAGCUAUCGGAUAACUUCGAAUGGCCUAAUAUACUUGUAAUUUGAAUUCCUAAAAGAGAUAAGAAAGAGGGGAGGAUAUAUUUGAGGAAAUAACGACCACAGUUUUCCCAAAUGGAUGAAUAUUAUAAACCUAUAGAUUGAAGCUCAGUGAGCACCCAAGAACAAGAAAUACACAAAAAUAUAUACCAACCACAUCAUAAUCAAAAUUUUUAAAACCAGUGAAAAAAAUCUGAAAGCUGUCGGGGUCAAGGGGUGUGUGGAUAGGGGCAGAUCCUACAUAUAGAAGAACAAAAGAAAACAGCCAAGUUAGACUUCUAUACCAAUUCUAUACCUUAUUUCAAAAACAGGUGAAAUGAAGACUUUAAAUUUUUUUUUUUUUUUUUUUAGAGGGCACAUGUGAGCAGAAGAGAGGGACAGAGAGAGUCUUAAGCAGGCUCCAUGCUGCCGGUGCACAGCCAGACACGAGGCUCGAUCUCACAAUCCUGGGAUUAUGACCUGAACUGAAAUCAAGAGUCAGACACUUAACCAACUGAGCCACCCAGGUGCCCCAAGACUUACUCAGACAUACUAAAGACAUAGCAGCAUACCCUCCCUACGACAGACAUCGAAGUCAUUCAGGCACAAGGAAAAUAGCACCAAAUGGGAACCUAGAUCUCCUUGAAGAAAUGGAAAAGCAUGGCAGCUACGUGUGUAUUUUUUUCUGAAACAAAACCUGACAUUUUUUUAGAAAGAGCCAAGCUGUUCAUAUGUCACUACAAAACUGAAACAGAGUUCUUCUUGAUUUCUGUUUGGAAUAAGGUAUGGAUCAUUGUAUCCUGUGGUGUCACCUCCUUAACUGAGCAGAAACAUCUAGAAAGUCAUAUCUGUGACUUCAGCUACCAGUUAGUGAUACCCACCCCUUCAUGAACCUGGAGUAUAAACAGUGGUGGGAGGCAAAUGUUUUCUCUUAAUAUUUUUUCAUUGUUUUAUUUAACUUGUUUCUGUGAUAAUGAAAUGGACAAAUUAUCUCCUCUUUGCUCCAAGUGAUAAUUUUUUUAAUGUGUAUUUGCUUUUGAGAGAGAGCAGGGGAGGGACAGGAAGAAGGGGGCACAGAGGAUCUGAAGCGGGCUCUGCGCAGUCAGCAGAGAGCCCCACAGGGUCUCAAACUCACAAACCGCAAAUCAUGUCCUGAGCUAAAGUCAGAUGCUUAACUGACUGAGCCACCCCAGCUCAGAUAAAAUUUUAAAAUAAUCGGUUCUCCAAUGUUUCUGGGACCCCCAAUCUGUUCUGUUAGUCAUUUUGUUUAAUCUUGCACCAGUACCAUACUGUCUUCAUUACUAUAGCUUUGGACUUGGUAUCCAGUGGGAUAAGUCGUCCAACCUUAUUCUCAAGAGUCCCUUAGUCGCUCUUGGCCCUUUGCUCCUCUGUACAUGUUUUGUUGGAGUCUGACAGUUUUCACAAAACAGAGGUGGAGUUGUGAGUUGUGUGUCAAAUAGGAUUAGAGGGAAAAUUUCUGCUUAAACUAUUUUUUUAAUGUUUAUUUUCAAGAGAGAGAGGGAGAGAGAGCGUGAGCAGGGGAGAGGCAGAGAGAGAGGGAGACACAGAAUCCGAAGCAAGCUCCAGGCCCUGAGCCGUCAGCACAGAGCCCGACGCGGGGCUCAAACUCACGAGCCAUGAGAUCGUGACCUGAGCUGAAGUCGGACACUCAACCCACUGAGCCACCCAGGCACCCCUUAAACUAUUUCUUAGGUGCAAAUAAAUAGUGUAUGUGUACUAUAAGCUUUAUUUAUUCUAGGUUUGUCUUUUUUUUUUUUAAUUUUUUUUUUCAACGUUUUUAUUUAUUUUUGGGACAGAGAGAGACAGAGCAUGAACGGGGGAGGGGCAGAGACAGAGGGAGACACAGAAUCGGAAACAGGCUCCAGGCUCCGAGCCAUCAGCCCAGAGCCUGACGCGGGGCUCGAACUCACGGACCGCGAGAUUGUGACCUGGCUGAAGUCGGACGCUUAACCGACUGCGCCACCCAGGCGCCCCAUUUAUUUUUUUUUUUAAUUUUUUUUUUUUUAGGUUUGUCUUUUUUAAGAUUUUCACAGGGUACUCCAUUUCGGGUUCACAUACGGUUUUUCUGAUUACUUUCAAGACUUUAGUUUGGGUCAUUGCUUACCUGUGUGUCUUCACUGAAUGUUUGAGGGACGUUUUGCACUUCUGAUUGUGACAAGUUUGCCUCUGUUCUUAACCACAAACAAAAAUCUCACAAAUACAAAGGUGGCCCAGAGUACCUUGGAGCCUGAAAGGGUGGCACAUUUGUGUAAGGCUUUGAAUCGCCCAGAGUGUAACCUGUGCAUACUCAGGUAAGUCCCAGCUGUUGCGCUGGAGAAUGUCUCCAGUGAAAAGGUGGUCAGUCUUACAGCGGCCCGUCAUGCUGACGGUGUCCUCUGGGGGUUGCAGUGGACAAUCCCCUCCCUUUGUUCCUCCCUCCGGUAGACUGGCCAGUAAAGCCAGGUCGAUAACAAAUAGUUAAUGGGCUUUAAGAAGAAGAGAUAAACUUACUAAACAAAUGUAAAACCUACCUCUCAGACUCCAGGAUCCCUCAUUUCACUCAAAACCCAAACAUUCAGAAUUUUAGCAUUCAGAUGUUCUCAUAUGUGUGCAGAGAAGAUCCAGGAUGGUAAGGAGUUCUCUGUCCUCCUGAGACCUCAGAGCCACAAAAGCAAAUGCAGGAAUUCCACAGAAGCACCCUGAAGGUUUCCCCAAGUUCAACACAGAUGAAUCAGUCUAUUCAGAUACACAUACAUUCACGGUUAGUUACAUACAGAUAAAAGCUCAUUCUCUUUUGAAAGGACCAAGUGACGGCAGUUGUUUGUGAUAUAACACUGUUGUAGAGGAAAGGUGGUUCUUACUUGCUUUAGCUUGUUCCUUGGCUGGGCAGUGGGGGGUUCUUGGCAUUCCACUGGAGGCAGGAACCAACGGUGGGGUGAGGAGAGUAACUCAGUCAAGAUAAGGGGAUGGACAAAUCCUCUGUGCUUGAGAGGCUAUGAGAAGGGUCACUUGGUGAGAACAAACUCCGCAGGUUUGUUUGGAUGCUGUGAAGUCCCACCAGGGUGCCUGGUGAGUCAGUUGAGCGUCCGCUCUUGAUUUCAACUCAGCUCAUGGUCCCAGGGUUGUGGAAUUGAGCCCCGAGUCGAACUCCACACUGGGCAUGGAGCCUCCUUAGAAUUCUCUGUCUCUCCCUCUGUGCCUCUCCCCUGUUCAUCCUCUCUCUCAAAUUAAAAAAAGAAGUCCCACCUGACUGUUGAGGAAGAUACUGGUGAUGAUCUUCCUGAUUUGAAGGCCUCUAAAUGUCUUCUCUUGGAAUGAUUCUGGAUAGAGAUGAAAUGAAAGCUAGAAAUGAAGCUUUAUCUGUAACAAGCCAGGACCGAAACCUCAUGAAGGUGUAUGUUGUGCUCUCUCAACAGCCCGAUCAACCAAAUGGACUGUAGUUGCUCUGCAUUGUUACCCAUGAGGUUCAACCAUCAGAACAUUUGGGGUUUGGUCCUGGCUGUGCACUUCGAACCUUGAAAGAGACCCUUUAAAGUCAUUCUAAAAUGCUUGUCUGUACUUAUUCUUUGAGAGGAUCAAGUAAGUUAAUGUUCUAGCACUUUGAAAGAGUAUGAGGUGGUAUUUACCCUUGGACAUGAAUCAAUAGAGUAGAAGAAACUUUAACCCUUAACCGACUUUGAUUAGGAAGGGAGAUUUGAAAGGAUGUCCGGGCACAACCCAAUUACAAGGAUUCUCAAGUGUCAGUCACCUCAAUCUCUCCUUUAUGUCUCGUUUUAUUGUGCCUGGCACGGCCUUAGUUAACACAUUGAUCUUUUAAUCCAUUUGCCUUCAUCCAGCCAUCCCCAAAAGCCUGCUUUCCCAGUUUCCAUUAUCUUUCACACUGGCCACUAGUAAUUCUCUAGAACUUACUUAAUUACAAAAUUCCUAUUCCAGUAGCUCCUUAGGGGACUACGAGAUAGAUCACAUUCUCUCUGUGGUAUAUAAGGCUUCUUCCCGUCUACCUGUUGGGUACUUACAAACGCUAAGUUAAUAUGUCUGACACCUAGGAUUUAAUAUAUCUAGUAUGAUGAUUUACAUAAGAGUAAUAAUAAUUUGUUAUAAAUGAUUAUAGGCAUAUAGAGA
rnacentral:lncRNA from 1 species